rnacentral:rRNA from 1 species
UACAGAGGGUGCAAGCGUUGUUCGGAAUUACUGGGCGUAAAGCGCGUGUAGGCGGUUUGAUAAGUCGGUCGUGAAAGCCCUUGGCUUAACCAAGGAACUGCGAUCGAAACUAUUAGACUAGAGUAUCGGAGGGGAUGGUGGAAUUCCCGGUGUAGAGGUGAAAUUCGUAGAUAUCGGGGAGGAACACCUGUGGCGAAGGCGACCAUCUGGAAGAUUACUGACGCUGAGACG